GCCGGGCCUGGUGGCACAUGCCUGUAAUCCCAGCUACUAGAGAGGCUGAGGCAAGAGAAUCACUUGAAUCCGGGAGGCGGAGCUUGCGGUGAGCCAAGAAGGCGCCACUGCACUCCAGCUUGGGCGACAGAGGGAGACUCCUCUCAAAAAAAAAAAAAAAAAAGAAAGAAAAAAGUAUCUUUUUUUUUUUUGAGACGGAGUUUCACUCUUGUUGCCCAGGCUGGCGUGCAAUGGUGCGAUCUUGGCUCACCGCAAGCUCCACCAACCGGAUUCAAGUGAUUCUCUUGCCUCA
rnacentral:SRP_RNA from 1 species